rnacentral:rRNA from 1 species
GACGCUGGCGGCGUGCCUAACACAUGCAAGUCGAACGGGGCAAUUUCUUCGGAGAUUGCUUAGUGGCGAACGGGUGAGUAACGCGUGAGGAACCUGCCUUCCAGUGGGGGACAACAGUUGGAAACGACUGCUAAUACCGCAUAACGCAGCUAGAUCGCAUGAUCUUACUGCCAAAGCUUUAUGUGCUGGAAGAUGGCCUCGCGUCUGAUUAGCUAGUUGGUGGGGUAACGGCCCACCAAGGCGACGAUCAGUAGCCGGUCUGAGAGGAUGAACGGGCCACAUUGGGACUGAGAUACGGCCCAGACUCCUACGGGAGGCAGCAGUGGGGAAUAUUGCACAAUGGGGGAAACCCUGAUGCAGCGACGCCGCGUGAGUGAAGAAGUAUUUCGGUAUGUAAAGCUCUAUCAGCAGGGAAGAAAAUGACGGUACCUGACUAAGAAGCCCUGGCUAACUACGUG